GACAUUUCUGUCACGUGAUUAAGAGGGAGUGUGCUUCCUCAAUCGGACACUUCCACUUCCUACUGGGCCGGUAUCAAUCUUGUGCAAAAAUGUCACAUCAAACGGGAAUAUCAGCUUCCAAAAAUUUGGCAGACUUCUUUGCCAUUUGUAAGGAUGGAAGUAUUCGUUUGGUAAAGAUCUCUAUUGAAAAUGAACAACUUGUACUUUCUCACAAUGAAAAACCUGUCAACACUUGGGAGGAUGAUUAUGACCAGCUGAUAUUGCCGCUGUUGGAGGAAAAGCAGCCAUGCUAUAUCUUCUUCCGCACAGAUGAAAAAGGAGGCACAGGAAUGGCAUUUCAGUGGAUUUUCAUCAGUUGGUCCCCUGAUUUUUCACCAGUCCGACAGAAGAUGUUGUACGCUGGAACCAGGGCCACUUUGAGGAAGGAGUUUGGCGGCAAUUACAUCAAGGAUGAAGUUUUUGGAACUGCAAAGGAGGACGUGACACUGGCGGGCUACAGGAAACACCGGCAGUCCCAGCAGGCACCAGCGCCGCUCACGUACGCCGAGGAGGAGCUGGACAUGAUCAAGAAGAAUGAGGUACAUGCAGAGAUCGGCGUGGACACGAAGCACCAGACGGUCCAGGGGGUGAUGUUCCCCCUCACACAGGGGGCCCGGGACAAGCUCGAGGGCUACAAGGAGGGCAUGUACUCGUAUGUUCAACUUAGUUUAGAUCUCAAGGCAGAAGUGGUGGAUGUUGAGUGUGUAGAAGAAGACUUGAACCUGUCCAGGCUCACAUCCAAAGUCCCCACUGACCAUGCCCGCUACCAUCUUGUCAACUUCAAACACUCGCACGAAGGAGACUAUAUGGAGAACACAGUGUUCAUCUACUCCAUGCCGGGGUACAAGUGUUCCAUCAAGGAGAGGAUGCUCUACUCCAGCUGCAAGUCCCCCCUCACAGACACUCUGGAGAAGUCCAUCGGCAUCGCCAUUGUGAAAAAGAUCGAGAUUGAUGACCCAAAAGAAUUAACUGCAGAAUUCUUGCAAGAGGAGAUCCACCCCAAGAAGAAUGCAGUGCGCCAAGCGUUUGCCAAGCCGAGGGGCCCUGGGGGCCGUGGUCCACGGAGAAUGACAAAACCCACACCAGCGGGAGAAGAUUGAUACGGCAGAUGGUUAGACUAACACCUCAUGUCACCAGCAUCAUCAUUUCGUCAUCGCUUUGCACCAUGCUCAGGACAGAUCUUUAGUAUUUAUGUUUUCUUUAGGGCUGUUAUGUGAAUAGGAAAAAGUGACGGUUACCAUGGUUAUUUCUGUAAACUCCUUCAAGGAGGAUAUGUUAUCAGGGGUCCGGAAAAUUUAAAAUCCCAAUCGGUCAUUUGCAUUUAAGCCACGCCCCCUUCAAAUAGCGUAUUUUCGUACGACUUUUCACACACAUUACAAGUUUUUACGUACAGUGUUCCCUCGUUAUUGAGCCCUUGGAUUAUAGCGCGGUAGAGCAUGGCUCCCAUGAAUAUAUGGCCAAUUUUCUUUCUGAUUUUUAAAGAUUUUUGUGAGGCAAGAGGGAAAAUUUAAAACUUUUUCCAAAGAAAAAAUGAACACAAAAUGAUAUCAGAAAAUCAAACAACGAGAUUAAUCCUAAAUUAGACAAGCUUUUUCUCUUCUUUUUUUCAUUUUUCAAAUUUAUGGCUUGGGUUGUCCAGAAAACAAAAAAAUUGUUUUAGCCUGAUGUUAUUUCAGAAUAUAAAUUGAUUAAUUGAAUAAGUUGACACCUUUAGAAAGUGAAAAGAAUGAAUUUGUAUGGAAAAUGUUGCUUUCAGUUUCAGUAUUCAUGUUUGAAGCCAACACUUUACAUUAGGAACGGUUAAGUUUUGUUAUUGUUUUCAUGAGGAGCGUUGUGUUCAUGUUGAAAUAUGUUUUUAUGAUAAAAGAAUCUAUAUUUUUGUUAUCAGAGUUUAUUUCUGAUGAGUUGGUUUGUGAAUGACAGAUGGUAACACGAUCAGGAAGACAAAAAAGUGAAAAGUAGGUUUGUAGAAUAAUUCAAUAUAUAUAUAUGGUUUUAGUUAUAAUUUAAAAAUCUUAUUGUAUAGAUGAUUCAUUGAAUUCGAAGUAUUCUGUUGCCAUUAGAGCAUUAUUGAUCUUCACUGAGAAUUUAUCUUGAAUGAGAGUUUUUCAACUUUGAAUGUAUUUGUUUAAAAAUGGUCCCGUUCACAUUUUGUUGAAACAGGAAGAGUCAUCUCCCUUGCUUGGGAGCACUUCAAGGAAUGUACAACUGCUGAAUUUUCUUUCAUUAUGUUCUCUGUAUUUCUUUUGAGUUCAUAAUUAUCGGCAAUACGGUACAGGGAAACUUUAUUCUGAAUGUACAUGGUUCACUGUCACGUAAUAUAUAUCUGGAACCGGUUACAUAACUCAUUCACAUUUCAAAACUGCAAAGGUGUUUUAUGUAUAAGACUACAUUUACAGAAUUGUGCCACUUUUUAUUCCACAUUAAGAACUAUAAAAAAUUGUAAGUAAAGUCAUUUCUUAAAAAAUUCAGUUCAGAUCACAGUGACUUUAACCAUGACAGAAUAUACCCAAUUAUAUUUUUGUCAAACCUGGUUGUCAGUUCCUGCUGGUUAUGAAAAAUGACAAGUGGUGAUGAAUGUUAUCAGGCACACCUUUUUGUUAUGACCCCUGAUUAAUCGAAGCACGUUACACCAGAGUCCCCCUGUAUACUGUCACAUGACAAACAUUUAUUUUUUUAAGGAUGUCUGCUGGUUUGAUUUUGUGUUGACUACACAGCUCAAAUUGUCGUGUCACUUAACAACAAUUUUUAAUCUAUCGCCAAUAUCAAUCGGUGCUGCCGAAAAUCAUAGAACAAGGUCAAAUAGUUAAUGAUAUGGUGGUUUAAAACAAUAUUAAUUCCGAUUUUAAACAGAUCAGUUUUUGCCGACAGCUGACAAAAUUGGUGGGAGAAGUGAUUCCAUGUUCUUUGGAACCAAGACCUCUCUAUAUUGUAACCUUGAUGUCUGAUAGCUCUGUAUCUCAUUGAUGGAAUUGUCUGCAUCACUUCGAGCUUUCCUCCCUCAUUAAGCUGACACGUCGUGAUACAACUGUAAUACAGUUAAAAGCAAUGUUAAACUCACCCAUUCACUCACUGAUAGACGUCGCUAUAUAAGCGCAAUAAUCUUGGACGCGACGUUAAACCCAAUUUCACCUCACUUACUGAUAGAAUGUCACUUCACACAAGAUUAAUGGAAAUAUGUAAAUGAACACAUUUUCUUCUAUUUGCUCAAGCAUUAUUAAUUGUUUUUUUGUAUGUGAACCAUUCGUUAUGUGGUUAGAAUAUUAAAAAUGUUAAAUACCUUUUUUUCAAUUCUAUUAUUAUUCAAAUGUGUUCACACAGUGAGUGAUUUUUAUAGUAAUUUGUGACAUUGAUGUGUCUGAAGCAAGGUAAUGAUCACUAUCCAUGCUAACUGCCUUCUUUUUUCAACUUAACAAAAUACCUACCUACGAAAAUACUUUGAAAAAAUACCAGCGGACAUCUUUAAGUGCCAGAAGUUGUAUUUGUUUUUGUUAGCCCUGCCAACAUUCCUGGUAUACUGUUUCUACUGAGAAAAAGUCUUUUGUUUCUGUCUGGGUCAUUAAUGCCCCUUUUGUCAUUUGUACACAGCAAGGGUGGGUAACUCUGCAUGUUACAUAACAAGGGCAGGUAACUCUACUGAUCAUUUGUACACAACCAGGGCACAUAACUCAAAACAUGUUUUCAUGGCACGUCAAAAUAUGUCUUAGAUUUUGCUUACCUCAGCCAGAAACAAAAGACUUUUCAUUCUUGGCCAUGUAGAAGUUCUCAGGAUCUCUUGUGUUGAAUUCAGAUUGUUAUUGAUUGCUUGCUCAGACUCGGUAUUCCAUUUCUUUUAUGUUCAGUUCUGUUUUAACCAAUCACACAUCAUAAGGAGUUCAAACCAUUUCAUCAGUUUAAAAAUAUCAGUGAACAUUCUGUGCGAUAGUUACGUCCAGACAUUGUGGAGUGAUCACAAUAACAAACAUACUUCUGAUCACCAGGAGUUGCAAUACAAAUACUAUUCAUACAAAAGAAAAUUGAUUUUGGUGGUGCUUAACUCAUAGCAUACUGAUGGUAAAAAAGAAAAUGUUGACUUUUAUAGUAGAACUGCUUCACAUCAGUAAAUUAAGUCACUGCAUGAAAUGUUAGAAUAUUAUGUGAAAAUUGAUGUGACUUUCUUCAAGGACAAUUGUCAAUCACAUGUUUAUCUUAUUAGCCAUUCCCAUUUAUAUUUCCAUCAAUAUGUCUGGAGUUCACUGCAUUGUCCUGUACAUAUGUAUCACAAAAAUGUGGUUGGCUUGGCUUGGCUUGGCUGUGUUUGUAGGGUUAUAACACCCUUUUCUAGUAAUUUCUAAUUUUGACAUUCUUUAUCUGAUUGAUUUAUAUUUUAUACUUGUCACUGGAAAAGGAACUGUAUACUGAGAGUUUAAAUCAAUGUUUAUAUCAGUAGUCCUGGAAUGGUAUUGUUAUGGGUGAUGUUGUUCUGAAUGCGUACAAUUCAAGGCAAAUAAUACAAAAAUAAAAUAAACUUUUCUGACACUAUGAUCAAGAGAGCUUUCAAGUUGAGAUAGGUCACAAUAUAUGAACAAAGACAGUGUUACAGAUCUCAUUACACAAACCUGCUGCUUUAUCAAGGUUGUUUAUGAGUAUAUUUUAUUUUAUGAAUGAAGCAUUGGAGAGGAAUAUUUAAUAUAUGAAACGCAUACUGGGUAGGUACCUACAGGUGUUGUGUAAGGGCAUUGACAUGAUUAUGUUGCAAUAUAUACUUCUAUCUAAAUAGUUCAAAUUUCCGUUUCUGCUUUAAUGAAAAAAAACAUGAUUAACAGUAAGACACACUGCAGUCAUGGAGAAGAUGUCUUUGACAGAAUAUCAUGGUGGUCUGACUCGGUCACUUGGCCGAUUCCUGUCAUCGUCCCCCAAGACAAUGCUGCUCAUUCAGUCAGUCACUGGUUUGUCUGGUCUGACUUCAUCAUUACAGACUGCUGUGAUAUACUGUAGCUGCAAUAUUGCUGUCUUCUGCAUUUACACAAAACAUCCUUGCCCUUUGUGUAAGGUAAGAUGGUGGUAGGUCUUCGUGUAGCAAUAGGAAUUGGGAAUAUUAGUUUGAAGAUGAUGACAAUUUUUGCCAUAAACUUUAACAUAUUUUAAUUAAAAUGAUUGUCAUUUCCAUUUUUAUCAUGUACCACUGGAGAAUUACAUCCUUAUCUGUCCUGCCUCAGUACAGUGUAAGGGCGGGUAACUCUAAUCACUUCACCAGCAUGGCAACAUUAUUUCAUUGCCUUGUGGCUCUACAUUUAGAUUCUAUAUAUACUACAGAAGAAACUGUCUCUGUCUGUCAUUGCAUCCAUAUUUGCGAAGACGAACAAAUACUUUUCAAGCUUUAUCACCCCUAGAAGUCCAAUUCAAGAAAACAUUGUGGUGAUUAUAGGGUCAUGUUUGCAGUGUUAAAAAUUAUACAAUUAAAGACUUAGUCCAAAUUUUGACAAUAGAAUUUGGAACUCCUCAAAGUUGUCAAGAACCCUGUGUGUACCGAUAACUUUUACGGAAACUAUGACCAAAAUGUUAUCUAUUAUUCAGGAGAAUAACUUAAAUAGUUAUGAGUAAAAAUUCAAUGGUUGAAACGGUGGUAAGAGUGUUAUGGCUGAUUAUAUUUUGAUGGUUUUAUGCAACUAGAUCGGUAGAUGUACACGUCAUGUUUAUUUCUGGAAAUCAUCAACCACGUUGUCAGACAACCGUCCACCCUGCUGAUAACAGCACCAACCGCAGCUGUACUUUGACUGUCAAAUAUAUUUUGCAAAUCGUAUUUUGAUGGAACAUGUUAUUUUCUAAUAGUGCUGUCUUAUCUGUUUCCGACUUGUUUGAUCAUGUGCUUAGCUUAGCUUCGACUUCCGGAUGGGUAUUUUUCUUUCAUUCCUUGACUUUCAUACUAUACUGAACAAAAAGAGUUAAGGAUAAUGAAUAUUUGGGGGGAUCUUUUUUUGUAAUUACGACUGAAGACUCAAUUUUAUAAAAAAAAUACCCUAAAAAUAUUCAUGAUCCCAAAGUUUUGUUCAGUAUAUUUCAGGUGAGUGCUGGUCGAUGGGUUCAACCUGUUUAUACAUCUUUGCUUAUUGCUAACUAUUAACAAUGUAUAUAUGGAUAUGAAGUGCAUUGUUUGUACGUAUGUACAUAGUUUUUACCUUGUACACUCCUGGGCAAUUUAUGAUAUGAACAACUAUCUCAAAGGUGUGGAAACCGUGCAAAAUGUCUCUAUGAAAGUGGAUAGAAAUAUGAUGUCUGAAUAGCUGAUACCUACUGACAUUAAUAUAGAAGUUAUCAUAGAGCAAGUGUGAAGUUUUCAGAAUAUUUCUGAUGGAAAAGUGAAUUGUGAAUUUAUUUAUAACAAAUGAAUUGAAAUAAUUAUAUUCAAACAUACAAAGUAAUUAGUAAGAAAUUUAUUUUAUAAACAGUUAUAAUGAAUAUAGUAAUUAUUGCUUUUGUGAAUUUCUGCAGAUUUGAGAUGGCUACUACCAAUAAUUAUUGAUUAUGACUAUGAUUAUGAUAAUUCAGUGGUCAGUUCAUCCGCCUCACCAUGCCUCAUCUGUGUUUUCCAUACUGUGGUGCAAUCUAUACUUUCUAUGUAGGAGUGUUCUGCUGGAGCUCUGCUGAAGGCUCUGCUUGCCUCCGUUGUUAACCGUGAUACCUGUCAACAAGGAGUGUUGAGAUUGUUAGCAAAUAUUCUGUAAAAUACCUUUCAUGUAAAUAUUGAUACUAAUGAAUAAAACAAUGAUUUGUUCUCCCA
rnacentral:misc_RNA from 1 species